rnacentral:rRNA from 1 species
GAUGAACGCUGGCGGCGUGCCUAAUACAUGCAAGUCGAGCGAACAGACGAGGAGCUUGCUCCUCUGACGUUAGCGGCGGACGGGUGAGUAACACGUGGAUAACCUACCUAUAAGACUGGGAUAACUUCGGGAAACCGGAGCUAAUACCGGAUAAUAUAUUGAACCGCAUGGUUCAAUAGUGAAAGUCGGUUUUUCUGUCACUUAUAGAUGGAUCCGCGCCGCAUUAGCUAGUUGGUAAGGUAACGGCUUACCAAGGCUACGAUGGGUAGCCGACCUGAGAGGGUGGUCGGCCACACUGGAUGUGAGACACGGUCCAGACUCCUACGGGAGGCAGCAGUAGGGAAUCUUCCGCGAUGGGCGAAAGCCUGACGGAGCAACGCCGCGUGAGUGAUGAAGGUCUUCUGAUCGUAAAACUCUGUUAUUAGGGAAGAACAAAUGUGUAAGUAACUAUGCACGUCUUGACGGUACCUAAUCAGAAAGCCACGGCUAACUACGUG